UAUAAUCUUUAAAAACAUUAUUUACAUUUAUUUAACAAAAAAUAUUUAUAUCAACAACCACCCUAUACAUUAAAAUCCCAUAACCCAAAUACUACAACAAUCGAAAAGGUUGUAGUAGGAGCAUAAAUAGGCCAUGCCUCUAAUGAACAAGUUUUGGGGCUCUAGAGUCAAUAAUGGCGACGCUACUGAAAAUGUUGAUAAAAAAAAUGUAUAUUGACAUUUUUGCUAAAAAGAAAUUUCUUAGAAAUAAGUAGAGAUAUAUUUUACAAAACAUAAGGUUGCAGUAAGACCAUAAAGAGCCCAUGCAUAUGGAAAACGUUUUAGGGAUCUAGAGACAAUAAUGGCAACCAGGGGCGAGUCUAGGUUCUGACUUUUGGGGGGGCUCAACCCCAGGCAGCCACAGGGGUAUAUGAAGUAUAUAAAGUCCUGUGCAAGAUUUUUUUUUUCCACAACCUUUAUUUUCUUAGUUACUAUGCUGUCGUAUGUCUAAGCCGAUAGCUGGCAGUGUCAGCUAAAAAAUGCAGUUCUGAACCACUAAAGUGAUUAAAUGAAAAAAGACUGUUUGGAUGAAGGAAUAAUCAAUGGUUGUGAACUCGAAUAACAAAA